rnacentral:lncRNA from 1 species
CCAGAGGCUGCCAAAUUGUCAUCUGAGCCGGACCGGGUUUCGGCGGCCGCGCUUUAUAGUCGCUGGAGCCUGGUGACCUAUUCCAGGGCUACAAGACUGCCUCGGCAAACAGCCCAAGGAUGUUCGGUUAUCUCGCCUUGAGGGUUCGCGCGUCACGUGCCCCCCCCGUCCCCCGCUUGUUUUUCAGUUUAAAAGUGGGGCCCGUGUCUGCAGGACUCUAGGAGCUGCGGGCCCACCCAUUCACUGAUGUUACCCUCUCCUGUCAUUUCUCCUUUGUGAAGGGCACUGAAAAUCUUGAGUUUUCUUGGGAAAGAGAAGACAUCAAACAGGCAUAUGAGGUAGAGGAUAAUAAAGAAUAUUACCUCCUUUUCAAGUACCUUGAUUUUUUUGAAGUUUUCUCGAAGUUGGUUUACCAGUUUCACAAUAACACAGAGCAACUAGAAGAUCAAAAUUCCUUGUAUGAGGGAAGAGUAUCUGUGGACCAGGCUGAAAUUUCUGAGGGGACUCUAUCACUUUUACUAAGAAAUGUGGAUUUCAUGGAUGAAGCUAUCUACAAGUGCUCAGCCAUCACACCAGAUGGAAGAGGUGAAAGUACAAUUAAGCUAAUAGUAGAAGACUCUGAAAUGCCCCAGGUGCAAUUUGACAGGAUUGAUGAUGAGGAUGUGGCCACAUGCAUCUCAAAGGACUAGUACCUCACGCCCAUUGUGACAUGGCUGGACCGGACAGAGAGGGACCUGAGCAACCACAGCAUCGUGGAAAUCCUGGAGGAGCAGAUGAAUGGCUUCUACAGGGUGUUCUCCAUCCUGAAAUACC